AUUAAAGAGGAGGUAUUUACUUCUGUGGGGUAUUAAAGAGGAGGUAUUUACCUCUGUGGGGUAUUAAAGAGGAGGUAUUUACCUCUGUGGGGUAUUAAAGAGGAGGUAUUUACUUCUGUGGGAUAUUAAAGAGGAGGUAUUUACUUCUGUGGGGCAUUAAAGAGGAGGUAUUUACUUCUGUGGGGCAUUAAAGAGGAGGUAUUUACUUCUGUGGGGUAUUAAAGAGGAGGUAUUUACUUCUGUGGGGUAAUAAAGAGGAGGUAUUUACUUCUGUGGGGCAUUAAAGAGGAGGUAUUUACUUCUGUGGGGUAUUAAAGAGGAGGUAUUUACUUCUGUGGGGUAAUAAAGAGGAGGUAUUUACUUCUGUGGGGCAUUAAAGAGGAGGUAUUUACUUCUGUGGGGUAUUAAAGAGGAGGUAUUUACUUCAAAAACACCACAUGGUCACAUUUCUUUCUUGCUUUUAUUUCGGGGGCAGUUUCAUUCACAGACGCAGACACACACAGCUGCCACAAAAGUCACAAACUCCUUGAAGUCGACAUCGCCGCUCCCGUCGUUGUCCAGAGUACAGAACAUUUUCUCCGCCUCCUCGUUUUUCUACAAACCAAAACACAAGACUUAGAUUAGUGUCUGUCGCCCUCUUGUGGCCAAAGUGGGAAGUAAAACAUUUUGAAACGACAAAUUAGCAGCUUUUGUAGAGUUCACACAGAUGUAAAG
ensembl:lncRNA